GCGGCGAGCGAAGCGGGAAGAGCUCAAAUUUAUAAUCUGGCACCUUCGGUGUCCGAGUUGUAAUCUCUAGAAAUGUUUUCCGCGUUGGACCGCACACAAGUCUGUUGGAAUACAGCGGCAUAGUGGUGAGACCCCCGUAUAUGGUGCGGACGCCCAGCGCUUUGUGAUACAUUUUCGAAGAGUCGAGUUGUUUGGGAAUGCAGCUCAAAUUGGGUGGUAAAUUCCAUCUAAAGCUAAAUAUUGGCGAGAGACCGAUAGCGAACAAGUACCGUGAGGGAAAGAUGAAAAGCACUUUGGAAAGAGAGUUAACAGUACGUGAAAUUGUUGGAAGGGAAACGCUUGAAGUCAGACUUGCUUGCCGAGCAAUCGGUUUGCAGGCCAGCAUCAGUUUUCCGGGAUGGAUAAUGGUAGAGAGAAGGUAGCAGUUUCGGCUGUGUUAUAGCUCUCUGCUGGAUACAUCUUGGGGGACUGAGGAACGCAGUGUGCCUUUUGGCGGGGGUUUCGACCUCUUCACACUUAGGAUGCUGGUGGAAUGGCUUUAAACGACCCGUCUUGA
rnacentral:rRNA from 1 species